rnacentral:rRNA from 1 species
CGUGUGGGCGGUUUUGUAAGUCUGAUGUGAAAGCCCUGGGCUCAACCCGGGAAGUGCAUUGGAUACUGUAAGACUUGAAUACGGGAGAGGGUAGUGGAAUUCCUAGUGUAGGAGUGAAAUCCGUAGAUAUUAGGAGGAACACCGGUGGCGAAGGCGGCUGCCUGGACCGAUAUUGACGCUGAGACGCGAAAGCGUGGGUAGCAAACA